rnacentral:rRNA from 1 species
CAGUAGCCGCGGUAAUACGGAGGGUGCAAGCGUUAAUCGGAAUUACUGGGCGUAAAGCGCGCGUAGGUGGUUUGUUAAGUUGGAUGUGAAAUCCCCGGGCUCAACCUGGGAACUGCAUCCAAAACUGGCAAGCUAGAGUAUGGUAGAGGGUGGUGGAAUUUCCUGUGUAGCGGUGAAAUGCGUAGAUAUAGGAAGGAACACCAGUGGCGAAGGCGACCACCUGGACUGAUACUGACACUGAGGUGCGAAAGCGUGUGGAGCAAACAGGAUUAGAUACCCCAGUAGUCCCUGUCUCUUAUAC